AGGUUGUAUAAGAUAAAAUGAAUUCUCAGUUAUCGUCAUCGUCCUAUUCCUUGCUUCCUGUUCUUCAGAAUGGUUUGUUUGCAGAUUUAACAAUCACUGCAGACAGUGGACAACAGGUAAAGAUCGGCUAUUUACUGCAAAGACGUUCAAGCUAACAAAUGAUACCUUAUAUACCAUGAUAUUUAACGUGAAAUACUCUGCCAAAGACCUCGUUGGAGGUCCGCUGUCUAGUACCACAGUCCAAUAGCUAAACCAAACUUAUAUUAUUUUUUUAUACUGGAUAGCUCUACCAAUUGAUGAUUCCCCUUAUUAUGUUUUCAUAGCGCUUUGCAUUGUGGUUAUAGUGGUAUCGGUGAUAAAGGUAGCGGCCUCAAAUGAAAAUAUUGAAUGUUUUUGCGAAUAUUUUUACUGUUGGCUAUCGCGCACCUGACCCUAGCUUUUUUUAAAAGUUCUUGCACAGGUCAGGACAAAAAAUAAGCCAUCUUCAAUAUCAGUGAUACCACUAUAACCACAAUACAAAGCGCUACAAACACGUAAUAAGGGGAAUCUAGUAUUUGAAACUGUUCACCCUCUACAUCCAUCCUUCUACACAAUUUAUCUGGGUUAAUUUUUCUUGUUUUUAGUUUGAAGCACAUAAAGUUGUUCUCUGAGCUUGCCCAACAGUCGACUGGUCCGUAGUCUCUCCUCCGUUAUCAAACUGGCCUGCCGAUGCUAUAGAAGUGUCUCUACAUUACUUCU